UACAGAGGUCUCAAGCGUUGUUCGGAUUCAUUGGGGCGUAAAGGGUGUGUAGGUGGCGCCGUAAGUCGGGUGUGAAAUCUCGGGCUUAACUCCGAAACUGCAUUCGAUACUGCGGUGCUUGAGGACUGGAGAGGAGACUGGAAUUCGAUGGUGUAGCAGUGAAAUGCGUAGAGAUCAUGAGGAAGACCAGUGGGCGAAGGCGGGUCUCUUGGACAGUUC
rnacentral:rRNA from 1 species